UCGAGAAUUUUUCUCAAUGGGGGAAACCCUGAAGGAGCGACGCCGCGUGGAGGAUGAAGGUCUUCGGAUCGUAAACUCCUGUCAUUGGGGAACAAGUGCCGUCCAUUAACUGUGGGCGGCUUGAUAGUACCCGAAGAGGAAGAGACGGCUAACUCUGUGCCAGCAGCCGCGGUAAUACAGAGGUCUCAAGCGUUGUUCGGAUUCAUUGGGCGUAAAGGGUGCGUAGGCGGCGGGGCAAGUCGGAUGUGAAAUCUCAGGGCUCAACCCUGAAACUGCAUUCGAUACUGCCUUGCUCGAGGACUGGAGAGGAGAUUGGAAUUCACGGUGUAGCAGUGAAAUGCGUAGAUAUCGUGAGGAAGACCAGUGGCGAAGGCGGAUCUCUGGACAGUUCCUGACGCUGAGGCACGAAGGCCAGGGGAGCAAACGG
rnacentral:rRNA from 1 species